GACGGAGGGUGCUAGCGUUGUUCGGAAUCACUGGGCGUAAAGGGCGCGUAGGCGGCCUCAGGUGUCGGAUGUGAAAGCCCGGGGCUCAACCUCGGGCCUGCAGUCGAUACGGGCAAACUAGAGUACUGCAGGGGAGACUGGAAUUCCUGGUGUAGCGGUGAAAUGCGCAGAUAUCAGGAGGAACACCGGUGGCGAAGGCGGGUCUCUGGGCCGAUACUGACGCUGAGGAGCGAAAGCGUGGGGAGCGAACAGG
rnacentral:rRNA from 1 species